UACGGAGGAUGCGAGCGUUAUCCGGAUUUAUUGGGUUUAAAGGGUGCGUAGGCGGAGUGUCAAGUCAGCGGUAAAAUUUCGGGGCUCAACCCCGUCGUGCCGUUGAAACUGACACCCUUGAGUGAGUGAGAAGUAAGCGGAAUGCGUGGUGUAGCGGUGAAAUGCAUAGAUAUCACGCAGAACGCCGAUUGCGAAGGCAGCAUACCGGCGCCCAACUGACGCUGAAGCACGAAAGCGUGGGGAGCAAAUAGG
rnacentral:rRNA from 1 species